UUCUCGGACGUAUGUUUCUGUUAACCAUGAUGUUAUAUUGUUUUCAUCAAGAUAUGAGACAACCAAAAAUUCAACUCUUUGGGAAGCAAGGACUAGUAAUACUGUUGUGAAAAAAGAGAGUUAAGACAAGCUGACUUAAAUAUUGAUGAUAAGGUGUAAGAUGAGACUAGGCAAAAUGGUAUUGGAUUAGAGUAUCAAGUUGAACUUACAGAGAAAGAAAAGGUACGAUGCAGAAUGGCUUAUAAAUUUAAUGAAGGAUCUUUUCGCAAUCCGGGCUAAUUUGGUGUUCGGUAAAUAAAGGGUUGCUAAUGCAUAAAGUGGAAAUUUCAUCGCUAUGUUGAUAACCGUUAACGCUUGUUUAAUUGGGCCUUUCCGUCGGUAACCAGGCAUUCCUUCAAACCAAACUGUUCCCAAUAAUUGCUGGACGUUUGGAUGUGCAACGAAACUUUUUUGUUUAUAGUCAAUGGCUAGUUUUAGGCGUUCCAGUUUCAUCUCUUCUUCCUCAGAGAUGGUCACGUCGGUACUAAAAUUCAUGAUAAUCCUUAACUCAUGAGUAUUACGUACAUGAUCUAACAAAGCAACAGCAAAAUUUUGAACAUUACUCCGUAAUUCCUUGUAAUCAAGAGCAAACUCUUUUUCAAUUUUAGAUAGACGCCUAAGCUCCCAGCUUAAUUGAAAAGCAGUCAAUAUUGGAUCUCGACUUGAUAAUGAAAUUAAUGACGGUGAACAUAAUGCUUUAUAAGCGUUGAUCCGUGAUCGAGAAUGGCGAAGACAGUCAGCAGAAAUGGAUGUAAUACACUCAUAGCAGGAACAUUUAACAUCAUGUGGAAGAGGCAGUUCUGCUCCACGGUCCAAGAGGAUUUUCAAUAUUUCAUAAUUGUCUUUAUGAGCAGCUAAUAUUAACGGUGUUAUAUCACGAGUAUAUGCGCUUGUUUCAUGAUCAACCUUUUCCCAACUCUGUUUGAACAAUCGAUCAAUAUCGUAAAAGCAACAAGAAUCAAUCUCAAAUCAUUAGACAUUGACUUAAUUGUUCACUUGAUAAUUUGUUUCAAUUUACACAAACAAAGACUAGGCGAGAUAAAUAAUCAGCCUUAUGAUGACAGUGAAAAUAAUUGAUAAAUCACUUUUUUUACAACACUUGAUUGAACUACAAAUAAUAAAAUAAUGACUUCUGCUUUCCGUGUCUAAGAGCAAUUAACAUGUCUGACUCGUUGCACUACCCUGUAGUAAAUUCACUUAAAUCAAUUUGAUUAAACAUUAAACUAUCAAUGUAACUAGAUGUAAUGAUAAAACAUAAACAUAUAAAUGUAUUUAAAGGGAACCCUAAAAAAUACUCGAAAUAAAGUGAAUUUUUUAAGAAA